AUUGAACGCUGGCGGCAGGCCUAACACAUGCAAGUCGAGCGGGGUUUUCGGACCUAGCGGCGGACGGGUGAGUAAUGCGUAGGAAGCUACCCGAUAGAGGGGGAUACCAGUUGGAAACGACUGUUAAUACCGCAUAAUGUCUACGGACCAAAGUGUGGGACCUUCUGGCCACAUGCUAUCGGAUGCGCCUACGUGGGAUUAGCUAGUUGGUGGGGUAAUGGAUCACCAAGGUGACGAUCCCUAGCUGGUUUGAGAGGAUGAUCAGCCACACUGGAACUGAGAGCCGGUCCAGACUCCUACAGGAGGCAGCAGUGGGGAAUAUUGGACGAUGGGCGCAAGACUGAUUCAGCCAUGCCGCGUGUGUGAAGAAGGCCUUCGGGUUGUAAAGCACUUUCAGUAGGGAGGAAGGGUGUUGUGUUAAUAGCACAGCAUUUUGACGUUACCUACAGAAGAAGCACCGGCUAACUCUGUGCCAGCCGCCGCAGUAACAC
rnacentral:rRNA from 1 species